GAAAUUUUCAACUUGAAAAAUUGAGUGCUGAUGGAAUAGAAAAUUUGCAGCCUGUUUAUGGAAAGCAGGUGGUGAACUAGGAGUUAAAAGUAAAGAAAAAAGAAGAGAUAAAAUUAGAAAACAGAAACAUAUAAGAAUUUUUAUUUUUAUCAAAAUAGAAAUGUUCAUCCUUGACUGUUAGUUCUUUACAUAGAAAAAGGAAGAGAUCUCUUAGAAGGUUCAGCUGAAAUCUGAAAAAGAAGGCAAAAAGCAGGCAUGAAUUACAAGGGACAAGAAGAAGUGAAGGAGAAAAUUUAGAGGUUACGGCCGACGUUUUCGAUGCGAAAACGUGUAUGUCAG